GCAUUGGUGGUUCAGUGGUAGCAUUCUUGCCUCCCACGCAGGAGACCCGGGUCCGAUUCCCGGCCAAUGCA
rnacentral:tRNA from 2 species